CCUACGGGUGGCAGCAGUGAGGAAUAUUGGUCAAUGGACGAGAGUCUGAACCAGCCAAGCAGCGUGAAGGAUGACUGCUCUAUGGGUUGUAAACUUCUUCUAUAUGGGAAUAAAAUGUUCCAUGCGUGGGAGUUUGUAUGUACCAUAUGAAUAAGGAUCGGCUAACUUCGUGCCAGCAGCCGCGGUAAUACGGAGGAUCCGAGCGUUAUCCGGAUUCAUUGGGUUUAAAGGGUGCGUAGGUGGAUUGGUAAGUCAGUUGUGAAAGUUUGCGGCUCAACCGUAGAAUUGCAGUGGAAACUGGCAGUCUUGAGUGCAGGAGAGGUAGGCGGAAUUCGUGGUGUAGCGGUGAAAUGCUUAGAUAUCACGAAGAACUCCGGUUGCGAAGGCAGCUCACUGGACUGCAACUGACACUGAGGCUCGAAAGUGUGGGUAUCAAACAGGAUUAGAUACCCCAGUAGUC
rnacentral:rRNA from 1 species